GUUGACUGUUGCGGCGUUGCGCGAAUUCUUCGAUUUCUUUCUUACUAACUAUAGGCUUGCUAAAUAUGUAUCCAUUGCCAGUAAGGCAGCAUUGACUGGCUAUAAUUUGAAUGCUGUUGUUAUAACAUGAGCUUGUUAUAUAUUAUAUUGAUACUGAAUAUGAAAUUUGUUUAAAAUUAAGGUCUAGCUAGCUAGAUUCUAGAAGUUGAUUCAUAAAUCUCUUCUAAUUUUAGGGCCAAUUCUUCAAAGUUAUAUGGUACUUCUUAGGCACUGGGUAUGGAAUACCAUGAAAAAUGUGUUCACAACAACAUAUUAUCAGAUGGAUCUGGAUUAUCCACCUGAACAUGAGAUAAGUCUCACAUUUCUGCAUUACAUGGUGUUUGUUGAUAUAGCUGUGCUAAGCCUUUUAUUGUUUAUAUUUUAGGGCCAUCUCAAUGUUGUUAAGCCAUUUGCAAGGGGAAAACAUUUUGCAAACUGAGGACUCUGAAUUCAUAAGGUUUUCAAAGAGACAAAAUUACUGGUGGACAUUACCGCAAAAUAAUUUUCUGGUCAGUGAUGGUGAAAUAUGGGGACAAGGCAACUCAAUGGAUGGCCUGAAAUUUGGCAGUCUCAAUCAGAAGUGCCUGGACAAAGUAAGACAGUACAAAAAAAUAUCAAUGUCUACAGAACUAAAAGACUAAAAAGAUGAACAUUAACGAACUUUAUCUUUAAGAUGAACUUUAUCUGGGGUAAUAUUUGUCUUAUAUUUUGAUAGAGUAAUUUUUUAUGUAACGCAAAAAUAAACAUUAUUUAAUACAAUUUACCAUGUUUGUGUUGUGUUUUUUAUCUAAUCAAUUUAGAUAUUUUGUUUAAGAUCAAGCUUUGAUCCUGCAUUCCUAGAAUCCUAAAAGGAUCUUUAGGAACUUAUAAGAUCCUGCCUAGGAUCCUAAAAGAAUAUUUAGGAAUUUAUAAGAUCCUGCCUAGGAUCUGAAAAAAAUAUCUAGGAAAUUAUAAGAUCCUGCCUAGGAUCCUAAAAGAAUAUUUAGGAAAUUAUAAGAUCCUGCUUAGGAUCCUAAUUAAGAUACUUGUAGGAUCCUAUAGGAAUCUUUAAAAUCCUACUUAAGAUCUUAUUUAAGAUCCUUUAAGAUCUUAUAGGAUCUUAUAGGAUCCUAUAGGAUCUUAAUGUAAGAUCCUAUAAGAUCUUAUAGGAUCCUAUAGGAUUGUAUUGUAAGAUCUUAUGCAAGAUCUUAUGCAAGAUCUUAAUAAGAUCUUAUAUAAGAUCCUAACUAGGAUUUCUAC